GACAGAGGGUGCAAACGUUGCUCGGAAUCACUGGGCGUAAAGGGUGCGUAGGCGGGUUUUUAAGUCAGGGGUGAAAUCCUGGAGCUCAACUCCAGAACUGCCUUUGAUACUGAAGAUCUUGAGUUCGGGAGAGGUGAGUGGAACUGCGAAGUGUAGAGGUGAAAUUCGUAGAUAUUCGCAAGAACACCAGUGGCGAAGGCGGCUCACUGGCCCGAUACUGACGCUGAGGCA
rnacentral:rRNA from 1 species